rnacentral:sRNA from 1 species
AAAGAAGUGGACUCCGACUCUCGAACAUCCAAAAACUCAAUGUCCAGCAAUGAACAACUAGAUUCUAGAAAAGGGAAAUCACUUCCAGCUUCAA